UACGUAGGGUGCAAGCGUUGUCCGGAAUUAUUGGGCGUAAAGAGCUCGUAGGCGGUUUGUUGCGUCGGCUGUGAAAACCUGAGGCUCAACCUCAGGCCUGCAGUCGAUACGAGCAGACUAGAGUGUUGCAGGGGAGACUGGAAUUCCUGGUGUAGCGGUGAAAUGCGCAGAUAUCAAGAGGAACACCUGCGGCGAAGGCGGGUUGCUGGGCCGACACUGACGCUGAUGCGCGAAAGCCAGGGGAGCGAACGGG
rnacentral:rRNA from 1 species